rnacentral:lncRNA from 1 species
GCCAGCAAGAGAGCAGAAGCAGGAAGAAAGCCAGCCGGAAGACACCUACCCUGGCCGGAAGACACGUACCCCCGAAGAUCGAGAAAGAGGCUGUCCGGGUAGUAUGUAGCAGUCACGUCAGACUGAGACACUUCUUGUUUACAGGAGACCAUAAAACCCCUGCCCCAUCCUCAUUUGGUGCUGAGGCCGUUUUAGGCCUCAGCCCGCCUGUACCCAGGCACUCAUUAAAACAGCGUGUUGCUCCACAGGGCCUCGUGUUGUCUGUUGGCACGCUCUUGGGCUUGGAACCGAUACAAGAACCUUACAAUGAGGUGGAAGAGAGAAGCACGGCAGGAUUGUGCACAAAGUCUUGUCUGUUGUGGAAUGGAGUUUGGACCUUUCCCACCACUUUCAAGGAAGGGAAUGAAUUGACCUGGUUCACUUCCUAAGAAGGCUACUGUCUGUGUGGUGCUCCUAGAGGCAUGGGAGAGGAGUGAAGACAGAGAUGACCAAAGAAACACUUGGGGAAAGAAUGGAAGCGGCAUGUGUUAGCUUGGGAAAGGGAAACAUACCAGCAUCCGAGAUCUGGCCAUCAGGGAGAAUAACAAACACUGACGGUGGCAAGAUAAAGAGAAGAUUCGAAGAUGGCUCCAGGUCUCCAGCCAGGAAGAUGCUGAUGACAGCAGUGCCAGGAGUUGGAACAGGAAAUGGAAGCAGAUGCCUAAUGACUGCUUAGAGAAGGAAAGAAGGAAAACCCAAUGAAUCUAAAGAAUCGAGAUAGACUGAGUUCCCUACACCAAAUGGCUCACGUACGAAAGGAACCAUUGUCUUCUAAAAACUGACCCUUGGCUAUGUGUGCUGCCAGUCACUCCUGGGGGUUGGGGCAGACCAGGCCCACUGCUACCUCAUCUUCCUUCUAGCCUGAGCUUCUGUUGAUGUCAUCCCUGUCGGACCCUGGAUGAGAAAGAAAACGGGAACAACACGAGGAAGACGAGACAUCUUCCCCAGUGAGAAAUCUGCAAGUGUGCCAUUUUAGAAUGUUGGGUGUAAUGCCAGCCAUUGUUACAAUAGGACAUUGCAUUUUAUACCUGAGAUCACUGACUGGUUGUCAUCAGAUAGAAUCAUGUAGUCCCCUGUUGUACAAACAGAACAUUCUGAUGACUAUUCAUUAAGUGAAAUAUAAUGGAACACUUAAAGUGACCCCAAGAUUAAACCCUUAUUUGGGGUUUGUCUAAUGACUAAUGGUCACUACCACCAGUUUGGAGACAUUACAACAAAACUCUGCUGCUGACAAAAAUAUUAACCAUAAAUGAUGAGAAAUUUUCAGUUGGGACCAAAAGAACAUCUGGAGGCCAUUAAAGCAGGAGAAUUUUCCCUCUAUGUCCUGAUUGCCAAACUUAGAACCAACCACCCAGAAACUGUGGCCCUCAUGCUAACUCAAUGUUUAUAUUUCAUUAAAAACGAUUUCAAGGGUUUGCGUCUUGCACUUCAUGGCCCAACUCCCAUGCAUACAGCUUUUCAUCUCACUGAGCAUGUCCUGGAGCAGACGAGCAUUCCUCACCUCUUGGUUUCAGAAGAAGGAGCUUCUUGGGGAAUAAUUCCAGGUUCUUUUUUUGCAUCUAUAAUCUAAUCAAGAAUCUGUAGGUCCUACCAUCCUAGGAUAAAUGAGGAGAAGAAAACAAGGAUGCAAGACCCAACAAUAAAAAUAUUAGAAUUUUAAAAAUACUAUACUAGAGUUUGCUUUUAAAUACCUAGUAAAGCUACAAUAAGUCAUGAAAUUGAUGAAUGGAAAGUUAUAUAAUUUCAGCUGUAUAUUAGUUGCUUUUUGCUGCUAUAACAAAUCACCACAAACUUUGUGACUUAAGACAGAUGUAGCCAGGCACGGUGGCUCAUGCCUGUAAUCCCAGCACUUUAGAAGGCUGAGGCAGGCGGAUCACCUGAGGUCAGGCAUUCAAGACCAGCCUGGCCAAGAUGAUGAAACCUCAUCUCUACUAUAAAUACAAAAAUUAGCUGGGCAUGGUGGCACCUAUAAUUCCAGCUACUCGGGCGGCUAAGGCAGGAGAAUCAGUGAGUCGAGAUCACACCACUGCACUCCAGCCUGGGCAACAGAGCAAGACUCCAUCUCAAAAAAGGAAAAAACAAAACAAGACGGAUAUAUUACCUUACAGUUCUUGAAGUUAGAAGUCCAACACAGGUUGCACUGGACUAAAAUCAGGGCAUCAGCUGGGCUGCAUUCCUUUCUGGAGGUUCUAGGGGGAAAUCUAUUUCUUUGUCUUUUAGCUCCUUGCAGCUGCUCCAUUCCUUUGUUUAUGGCCUAUUCUCCAUUUUCAAAGCCAGCAAAGUUGCAUCUUUUUAACUUUUCUUCUGCAGGAAUAUCGCCUUCCAACUAUGGCAAGAAAAGGUUGUCUGAUUUUGAAGAUUUGUGUGAUUCAUUUAGGCCCACUAAAAUAAUCCAAGAUAAUCUUCCCAUCUCAAGAUUCUUAAUUUAAUCACAUCUGCAAAGUUCCUUACAAAAGCAACAUAUUCACAAAUUGCAGGGAUUAGGACGUGGACAUCUUUGGGGGAUCCAUAUUCUGCCUAUCACAAGCUAUUUCCAGACUCCAAGUAGUAAAGAGAGUUGAAAUUCAAAAGCUCAUCAGUCACCUUUUUUCACUGUCAUUCCUUUUAGCAUUGAGUUUUACCUUAGGAAAUAGGACAGAUGUUUUCAAUACCUAAAACCUUAAACAUAGAACAAUUUUACAAAUGUCAUGAAACCAGAAUGAAUCUCUUGGCUGAAAGUUUUUCAAUUUUCAAAGAACUAAUUUUAAUUUUACUAGUAAAUUUGAAAUGGAUCCAGCUUGCCUGCUGUACUUUUAUAUGAGACACUAAAUCACGGUUCUUUGGAAACGGCAACAUUGAAAGCAUAAACUGUCAUUUUCCCAGAAUGUGUGGAAGGGCGGAUGUGGUUGAUAUAAUGUGUUUCUUAACACAUCUUUUCACCCUGAGCUCACUCCCACCAUGUGUUUAUAUGCACUGCAGGGCAUACAGCAGCCUUGGUCGGUGCACGUGUUCGCAAGUAGUUUCGCCUAUUUCUCAAGCAUAUAUUCCUACGGGUGCCUAGCAAAUGCCUUAGCUGAGGACAAGGUGUCCAAGGAAUAAGUACUUGCUGCUGUUUUCCAACACACACCACAAUUUCGGCUGAUUCUCAGCAAAGGGCAUUUCUUCUACUCUGGGAUCUGUGAAUUUGCUCAUGGUUUUUAACAACCUGCAGCCCGGCUCAAGUCAUAGUCUGGAUCCCAAUUUGAAAUUAGCUACAUUUUAUUAGUAAGUGUCCAGAAAUGGCUUGGCGGGUCAUUUUCUGUCUUGUAAAAUGUGGUUCUUAUUGGCAGUAACAUGCUUUUUGGGCACUGACUCAUGUUCUCUCUUCAAGCAAAUGAUUCCUUCAGGAGGCACACGCUAUAUCUAGGUUUGCUGUGUGCAACACAUCAGAUCCUGGCCAUAGGGUGACUUAGCAAAGGUACAGGCAGUUUAUUGCACACCUAUGUACACUUCAGGUCCCGUGCUAAGAGUUUUAAGGGCAUUAUCUCAUUUAACUUUACAAAACCCUGUAAGAUAGAAUCUGUUAAUCAUCCCAUUUUCAGACGAUGAAAGCAAGAUUUAAAAUGACUUGCACAACCUCAUGAAACCGACAUGCUUGGGCUGGACUAUAUUGAGACUAGGUGAGGUGAGUGAGCACUCAGUUUGGUGCAAAAUGUAAAGGAAAGCCAAAAGGCUCAGUAAGCAAGGUAAAGGAUAUUUCAGUGCAAUUUUUUAAAAAUGCAAAAUUAGUGAAAACAUUCCAUAGUAAAAUAUUAAAAUGUGAAAAAAAGACAGACUCUGACCUUAUACUGGGACUCAGCCUUAAUCACCUGACUCUAAUCCUGGCCCUGCUGAAUCCUGUCCCUUCCCUGGCUGGAAUUUGAACCCAAGGCUGGCUGAGGCUGAAGCCCAUGUUUGUACCCACUACUCUAUAGGAUGCAUCUGCCUCCUCUGCCAGCAGGGCAGCUGGGAGGUACUUAAAAUGCUUUUCAACAAUGAUGACAG